GAGAAAUUCCCACUUUUUUAUACUAACAAAACGAUCGGCACUAUCCCGGCAAGUUACUAAGGCGACCCAGAUGAAUUCCAAUAACACCUUCUCCAAGAUCAAGCUCAGAUGGAAAAGAGAAGAAAGAAGUAUUCAGUUGGCAUCAACAAGAUGAAAAGGGUGCAGCAGGAUAUUGUUCCUUUUGUUCUGGAGGCUGAGAAGUUCAAGAUUAAGGUGCCAGCAGAUUUGGUUUCUGGUGAGGACAAGCUUUCUGGUUCAGAAAUGAUAUUUUUCAGUUGUGUCUUCCCAUGAUGAUGAAGAGGAGUCUUUCUAGGUCCUCUUUUAUGAGGGCACUCCUCCCGAAGGUCUUAUCUCACUACCUUCAGCUUGGAGGUGAGGAUUUCAACAAGUGAGUUUCAAAAAAUUUUUAUUUAUCAAUGAAAUAUAACCUCCCAUUCUUCAGGUUGUACAUGAUUUGGAGUUACAUUGGUCAUGUAUACAUACAUGAACAUAGGAAUGUAAUGUCCGAUUCAUUCAACUGACUUUCCUACUCCCAUUCCCCCUCUCUUCCCUUCAUUCCCCUUUGUCUAAUCCAAAGUAUUUCUAUUCUUCCCUAUAACCUCCCUCCC